GCAGAGCUAGAGGUGGUGCGUUUCCCCUGGCUAGAACACUGUCGCUUAGCGAUGCCUGUCUGAGUGAGGCUGUAAAAUGCUCUUUGUCAGGAUGCCCUUUUUCUUGGUAAAACCUGGGUGAUUCUGUCAAUAAAUGAAGCUUGGGGAGUGGAUAACACUACUGUCCACAGGUUGAAUUGUGCCCUCCUGAAAGAUGUAUUAAAGACUUCCUCUUGGAA